rnacentral:lncRNA from 1 species
GUGGCAGGUGGGGAGCCCUUUGCCCUUCUGAUGAAGUUAAACCAUAGAAGUUUGCAAUUUGCCUUUCACAAACAUUAGCAGGCCGGGCCUGGUGGCUGAAGCCUGUGAUCCCAGCAUGUUGGGAGGCCGAGUGGGAGGAUUGUCUGAGCCUGGGAGUUUAAGACCAGCCUGGGCACAAUGAGGCAGGGUUUCAUCACAUUGCCCAGCCUGGUCUCGAAUUCCUGGACUCAAGUGAUCCUCCCACUUCAGCCUCCCAAAAUUCUGGGUACAGACAUGAGCCACUGUUCCCAGCCUGCCUGCUUCCCUUUGCCUUCGCCCCAUGAUUGUAAGUUUCCUGAGGCCUCCCCAGAAGCAGACGCAUGUACAAUCCGCAGAACCAUGAGCCCAUUAAACCUCUGUCUUUUUUAUAAAUUACCCAGUCUCAGGUAUGUCUUUACAGCAUGUGAGAACAGACUAAUACAACACCUAAAUGCAGAUUUCCAUUUGCUUUUGGUUUUAAAGCUCAGCUUCCUUUUAGUUUAUAUGUAAAGCCUCUAUGUGGCCUAAUCUUUCAUUCAGUAGCAACUCACUAUUACUAUACUAGGUGCUCUGGUACAUGCUGUAGUGGUAUUAGUAUAUACUAGUACGUACUCUGCUGGUAUACAUGGUACAUAUUGUACUGGUACAUACUGUGCCAGAUACUAUGAAUACAAAGAUGAAUAAGACAUAGUCCCUGACCUGGAAGAGCUCGGUCUAGUGGGGACACUGACAUGCGUAGAGGAGAAGACCAAGCUUCCCUUUCACUCUUUCUGAAGGCUCAUUGAAAAUAAACUGACAAAAAGCAGACUAACAGGAGAAAACGGCAUACAAACUUUAUUUAAUGUGCAUAAGCAUGAGAGGACCUCAGGAGAAUGAUUACUCAAUAAUCCAAUGAGGUCCAGAUGUUUAUAUACCCUUCUUCAUAGAGGAAGAGGAGAUGGUGGGCAGGGGGGUAUAGGAAUAAAAGAUUUUUAGAGGAAAUGAAUGAGCUCCAAGAACAAUGGCCUGGAAGAAAGUUAUUUUGAACUCUGGGGGAGGUGGCAGGAAGAUGAGGGGCAGAACUUAACUGUGAGCAAAGAUUAUCUUAUAUAGAUAAUAUCUCCCAGGUAAUCCUCUUGGAGCUGCACUCAGAAGAAUAAAUGAAAAGCCAGAUCGGGCACAGUGGCUCAUGCCUAUAAUCCCAGCAUCUUGGGAGGCCGAGGCGGGUGGAUCACCUGAGGUCAGGAGUUUGAGACCAACCUGGCCAACAUGGAGAAACCCUAUCUCUACUAAAAAUAGAAAAAUUAAUCAGGCAUGGUGGCAGGCACCUGUAAUUUCAGCUACUCCGGAGGCUGAGGCAGGAGAAUCACUUGAACGUGGGAGGCAGAGGUUGCAGUGAGUGGAGAUCAUGCCACCGCACUCCAGCCUGGGUGACAGAGUGAGACUCUGUCUCAAAAAACAAAAAUAAACAAAACAGAGAAAAGCCUGUCUGGACAUAGUGACAACUCUCAGUGUCUUAUCUUUUUGGUGGUUAACCUUUUCUGGUUAUUUGAUGAGAUUCCUAGAAAGGGGAAUCACUGCUUUUUUUCUUUUUCUUUUUUUCUUUUUUUUGGAAAGAAGCUUCCCUACUCACAAAAGAAUGUUCCAGAGUCCUUCCAGAUGCUUCAGGAAAGGAAGAAGGUCAGAGAGAUGGGGAAGCUGAGGAAGGUCAGAGAGAUCUGUUGGUUCUGAGGCUUAUUUCUGAGACCUUUUAAUAUUCCUUAAUUCAAAGCACUCAGCAUGCCAAAGUGCCAUGUUUUACAAUUUCGUUUUCUAAGCCCUAACUU